CCACUGCUGGGAUCAAAGUGUUCAGCCAUGUGCCAAGGCAGGCUGACACAGAGCCUGUGCUAGAAGAAGUAUGUCUUGGUGCAGUGGGGUGCAGGGAAUCAUGCAGAUAACCGUGCAGAGGGUCAAGUGGGAAGAGUAAGGAGAAGGUGAAAUAUAAGAGAAUGAAGCAGGAGCUGAGAGGAUUUACAGCAGGAAGGCAAGGCUUCAAGGAGCUUCCAGGAUUCCAACCUCACUGAAUGGAGGGACUAUGCCUUGUUUAUCUCAAGCACCCAUCACACUGUUUGACAGUAAGUGCUCAAAAAUGCUUUAUGAAGGAAUAAAUACAAUCAUACGCCAGGUCUGCCUCCAUCUACAUGUGUUAUCUUAUCACCUACAUUUUGUCUUCAUUUAAGUAGCAAACAGGUGAGGAAGGGGUGUAAAUCCAAUGAUUUCAUCCUGCUCUAAAGUUCUCUGAGGAUCACGUGAGCAUCAAAGUCUGUCUGAACCCUGAUCAAGAUGUCUGCUGAGCUUCCUUUCCAGGCCAGAUGCACACAAAGUACCAACGGUUUGUGAUACAAUAAAAUCAACAACAGCUUUGCAAAUAAAAAUUGCAUGGCAGAGCUUCAAGAUGGCGGAAGAGUAAGAUGUGGAGAUCACCUUCCUCCCCACAAAUACAUCAGAAAUACAUCUACAUGUGGAACAACUCCUACAGAACACCUACUGAAUGCUGGCAGAAGACCUCAGACCUCCCAAAAGGCAAGAAACUCCCCACCUACCUGGGUAGGGCAAAAGAAAAAAGAAAAAACAGAGACAAAAGAAUAGGGAUGGGACCUGCACCUCUGGGAGGGAGCUGUGAAGGAGGAAAGGUUUCCACGCACUAGGAAGCCCCUUCACUGGUGGAGUCAGGGGGUGGCGGAAGGGGGAAGCUUCAGAGCCACGGAGAGCGCAGCAACAGGGGUGCAGAGGGCAAAGCGGAGAGAUUCCCACACAGAGGAUGGGUGCCAACCAGCACUCACCAGCCCGAGAGGCUUGUCUGCUCACCCGCCGGGGUGGGUGGGGGAUGGGAGCUGAGGCUCGGGCUUCAGUCGGAUCACAGGGAGAGGACUGGGGUUGGCGGCGUGAACACAGCCUGAAGGGGGCGAGUGCACCACAGCUAGCCGGGAGUGAGUCCGGGAAAAAGUCUGGAGCUGCUGAACAGGCAAGAGACUUUUUCUUGACUCUUUGUUUCCUGGUGCACGAGGAGAGGGGAGUCAGAGCGCCACUUAAAGGAGCUCCAGAGAUGGGCGCGAGCCGCGGCUAUCAGCGCGGACCCCAGAGACGGGCAUGAGACGCUAAGGCUGCUGCUGCCGCCACCAAGAAGCCUGUGUGCAAGCACAGGUCACUCUCCACACCGCCCCUACCGGGAGCCUGUGCAGCCCGCCACUGCCAGCGUCCCGGGAUCCGGGGACAACUUUCCCAGGAGAACGCACGGCGCGCCUCAGGCUGGUGCAACGUCAUGCCGGCCUCUGCCGCCGCAGGCUCGCCCCGCACUCCGUACCCCUCCCUCCCCCCGGCCUGAGUGAGCCAGAGCCUCCGAAGCAGCUGCUCCUUUAACCCCGUCCUGUCUGGGCGGGGAACAGACGCCCUCAGGCGACCUACACGCAGA